AUGAGCAGCCUCCGCCGUCGCCGCCCUUCGCCGGCGGCGGUGCCGCCGCUGGAGGACGACAACCUCCUCUCCGAGAUCCUCCUCCGCCUCCCCCCACAGCCGUCCACCCUCCCCCGCGCAUCCCUCGUCUGCAAGCGCUGGCGCGGCCUCGUCUCCGAUCCAGGCUUCUGCCGCCGAUUCCGCCGCCGCCACCGCCGCCACCCUCCCCUCCUCGGUUUCUUCCAAGUAGACGACGGGCUCUCCUUCGUGCCUUCCCUCAAGGCCCCGGAUCGUAUCUCGCCCGAGCGCUUCUCCUUGCAACACGAAGAUUUGGUCGACCGCUUCUUCUCCCUUGGAUGCCGACAUGGCCUGGCACUCAUCUACCUUCGCAAGCGUCUCCAGCUCCUUGUGUGGGACCCCGUCACCGGCGACCAGCACCACAUUGCCGUCCCCCCGGGGUUCGACACGGAUACAUCCCCAAUCAGCGGCGCGGUGUUUCGCUCUGCCGGGGACGUCCAACACUUCCAUCUGGCUUUGGUAGGGAGCAGUGAUGGACAAAUUACGCAAGCAGUCGCCCGUGUUUACUCGUCGGAAACCGGUGUAUGGGGCGAUCUUAUCACAACACCGCUUCAAUUCGAGGAUGCUGCCCAUUUUCGCAUCGCAGUUUCUACAAUCAAGCCUGCUGUGCUGGUUGGGGGUUCUCUUUACUGGUUGCUUGAUGGGAGCUCGGGCGGGAUCCUUGAAUUUGAUAUGGAUCAGCAAAGACUAGCUGUCAUACCUAUGCCAGUAAAUGGCCUCAGAUUUGUCCACUUCUCGAUGAUACGGGCAGAUGGCGGUGGAUUUGGUCUCCUCGUUUUAUCAGGCUUCAGUGCCCAAUUCUGGAAGAGAAGGACCAAUUGCGAUGGUGUUGCUUCAUGGGUGUUGGGAAGAACCAUUGAAAUUGACAAGCUACUUCAAUGCGAACCAGAGUUGAAUGGGAGCCAAUUAAUACUAGGUUUUGCUGAGGACAAUAAUGUGGUUCUUUUCUGGACAAUUGAUGGCCUUGUCAUGUUACAGCUUGAGUCACUACAGUCUGAGAAAGUCUUGGGAACCAAAAUCAUGGCUCACUAUCACUCAUUCGAAAGUGUUUAUACUACAGAAAGAGGAAUUGGUGGUCCUGAAGCUGUUCUUUUGCACAACACCUGA
rnacentral:rRNA from 1 species